AUACGUAUGUCGCAAGCGUUAUCCGGAUUUAUUGGGCGUAAAGCGCGUCUAGGCGUCUUAGUAAGUCUGAUGUGAAAUUCCUGAGCUCAACUCGGGCGCUGCUUCUGAAACUGCAGGACUUGAGUGCUGGAGGGGAUAGCGGAAUUCCUAGUGGAGCGGUAAAAUGCGCAGAUAUUAGGAAGAACACCGGUGGCGAAGGCGGCUAUCUGGGCAGUAACUUACGCUGCGGCGCGAAAGCGGGGGGAACAAACAUGAUUAGAUCCCGUGCUAGACCACGCCGUAAACGAUGAAUACUAGGUGUAGGGGGUCGAACCUCAGCGCCCAAGCUAACGCGAUAAGUAAUCCGCCUGGGGAGUACGUACGCAAGUAUGAAACUCAAAUGAAUUGACGGGG
rnacentral:rRNA from 1 species